UAAUAAGAAACAAAUUUUGUAUUUAGUUUCGACCUAAAAUUUUGGUAUUAUUAAAUACCCUUAUUUU
rnacentral:tRNA from 1 species